rnacentral:sRNA from 1 species
CUCUGAAACCUGAUGCCAGGCAUGUACCUGCAGUCUCAUCUCCCUUCUCUCUAAUGCCAGGAAGACUCUAUGAGGAUUGAAUGUGUGAUGAUGCAGUCCAUCAAAAGUCUCUGGUAAAAGAUGUCACACAGUACGUGUUUAGCACACACACACACAACAAAUCAAAGCAGAGGCCGGAAACGUGCAGACAUUUCAGCAGAAAUGAGAAGCCAAUCGUGUGUUCCUCACCCUCGCCAUUCAAGCAAAGUUCCCAGCCAUUCUACUAAAAGAGAACAGAUUCACAAAAGUCCUCACAAGCUAAGACAAUGUCAUGGUGAACAUGAGCUUUGUGCAAAGCACUACAACAGACAAUUCUGGCUGUGGUAUAGCACAGUAUCCAGAUCCAAGUCUACAUUUCAAGAGUAUCAGAGUAAUAGGUAAACAACAACGACAACGACGACGAC